rnacentral:rRNA from 1 species
GGGUGCGAUCAUACCAGCACUAAUGCACCGGAUCCCAACUCCGCAGUUAAGCGUGCUUGGGCGAGAAUAGUACUAGGAUGGGUGACCUCCUCGAAAGUCCUCGUGUUGCACCCC